CCUACGGGAGGCAGCAGUGAGGAAUAUUGGUCAAUGGACGAGAGUCUGAACCAGCCAAGUAGCGUGAAGGAUGACUGCCCUCUGGGUUGUAAACUUCUUUUAUAUGGGAAUAAAAUGUUCCACGUGUGGGAUUUUGUAUGUACCAUAUGAAUACGGAUCGGCUAACUCCGUGCCAGCAGCCGCGGUAAUACGGAGGAUCCGAGCGUUAUCCGGAUUUAUUGGGUUUAAAGGGAGCGUAGGUGGAUUGUUAAGUCAGUUGUGAAAGUUUGCGGCUCAACCGUAAAAUUGCAGUUGAAACUGGCAGUCUGGAGUACAGUAGAGGUGGGCGGAAUUCGUGGUGUAGCGGUGAAAUGCUUAGAUAUCACGAAGAACUCCGAUUGCGAAGGCAGCUCACUGGACUGCAACUGACACUGAGGCUCGAAAGUGUGGGUAUCAAACAGGAUUAGAUACCCGUGUAGUC
rnacentral:rRNA from 1 species